UUGGAACUUGGAACUUGGCACGAAGUUACACCGGAGUUAACCAAAGUUGAUUGCGUUCCAGUGUCCAAAGUCUGAAAACAAGGACACCCCCAGGAAAGCCUUUGUAAAAAUAUGAGGUCGACCUCAAAAACAUGAUGGGAGGAGAGAGAAGACGCAGAAGUAGGCCUUGGCUGUAUCCACCAAACACUAAUCCACCCCCAUUAGUGAGUCUGCCCACUGACACCUGGCGCUACUCAGUCUGAUUUGCACAGUGAUCCAAACAAGUGCAGCCCAAUCACCCUUUCACCUCUUCCUCAAGAGACCUGGAAUUAAAAGGCCCCAUUGUCAUUCCUACUGAAACUUCAAAGGAUCUCCUACAGACAGGACAUUGCCAUUUCAGCAUGGUGGAAGAUGAACCAUGGUUCCCUCAAAAUAACCAACAUAUAUUAUAAGGACCAUUAGAAAAUUAAUUUUAUUAAUAUACCAUAAAGGAUUAAAAAUGUCAUUCCCCUUCUUGAGAAAGCCAGCAGAAGUAGUGUAAGAAAAUAAUUUGUGCUUAUUCUAUGAUUUUGUGUGCUAUAAAAAUGUAUGAAAUUGUGUAUUGCUCCCUCUUUGAAUAACUUCUCCAACUUUCAAUGAAACAUUUUAUAUUUUGCACCAAUGUGUAGGGGAGAUUAUAACCUGAACAGUGACAACUGGUUGUACAAAGGAUUUAAGAAAAAAACACAGAACAAAAACACAAUGUUUCAGCCAAUCAAAAGGGAAACUCAGUACUUAGCC